UUACGGUCACAUCACGUUGAAGCACCUGUUCACGUACGAUCACCGAAGUAAAGCAACGUCAAGCACAGUCAAUACCUAGAUGGGUGACCGUUUGUGAAUACUAGGUGCUGUAAG